GGACUACAGGGGUUUCUAAUCCUGUUUGCUCCCCACGCUUUCGCACUUGAGUGUCAGUAUUGGUCCAGGAAGUCGCUUUCGCCACUGAUGUUCCUUCCGAUAUCUACGCAUUUCACCGCUACACCGGAAAUUCCACUUCCCUCUCCCAUACUCAAGCAACGCAGUCUCGAAUGCAGUUCCCAGGUUGAGCCCGGGGAUUUCACAUCCGACUUGCAUAGCCACCUACGCGCGCUUUACGCCCAGUAAUUCCGAUUAACGCUCGCACCCUCUGUAUUACCGCGGCUGCUGGCAC
rnacentral:rRNA from 1 species